CUUGGAUACUGGUGGGUCUUGGUCUCAUCAUUAUUCUCUGUGCUGCUCUCCUAUUCUUCAAGUGUAGACACAAGCUGCUAGGACAUCACCGGCAGCAACCAAUCACAGUACCUGACCGAGAGCCCAGAGCAGAAGAUGAAGCCAAUUACACAUAUAUCGAUAUCAACUACUUGAGGAGAGUACCUGACCGAGAGCCCGAAGCAGAAGAUGAAGCUAAUUACACAUAUAUCGAUAUCAACAAUUUGAGAAGAGCCUCCCCGGCUCCAGAGACGGGAAAGGAUAACGAUUAUUCUGUUAUAUACUCACUGGUGACACAAGCAGCCUCCAGUCAAGCCACGAACAGCUCAUCCACUUCCGAAUU